AGAGUUUGAUCCUGGCUCAGGACGAACGCUGGCGGCGUGCCUAACACAUGCAAGUCGAGCGAGGACGGUCCUUCGGGACCGAGCCGAGCGGCAGACGGGUGAGGAACACGUGAGCAACCUAUCCCUGUAUGGGGGACAACCCGGGGAAACUCGGGCUAAUACCGCAUGGUCGGUCUUUCCGCAGGGGAAGACCGGGAAAGACGGCCUCUUUACAAUGCUGUCGUGCGGGGAGGGGCUCGCGGCCUAUCAGCUAGUUGGUGGGGUAACGGCCUACCAAGGCAACGAUCGGUAGCUGGUCUGAGAGGACGGACAGCCACACGGGGACUGAGAUACGGCCCCGACUCCUACGGGAGGCAGCAGCUAGGAAUCUUGGGAAUGGGCGAAAGCCUGACCCAGCAACGCCGCGUGGGCGAUGAAGGCCUUCGGGUCGUAAAGCCCUUUUGUGGGGGAAGAUGAUGACGGUACCCCGCGAAUAAGCCACGGCUAACUACGUGCCAGCAGCCGCGGUAAUACGUAGGUGGCAAGCGUUGUCCGGAUUUACUGGGCGUAAAGGGCGUGCAGGCGGUCUGUUAAGUCUAGGGUGAAAGCUCCCGGCUCAACUGGGAGAGGUCCUUGGAUACUGGCAGACUUGAGGAGAGUAGAGGAGAGUGGAAUUCCCGGUGUAGUGGUGAUAUGCGUAGAUAUCGGGAGGAACACCAGUGGCGAAGGCGGCUCUCUGGGCUCUACCUGACGCUGAGACGCGAAAGCGUGGGGAGCGAACCGGAUUAGAUACCCCCGUAGUCC
rnacentral:rRNA from 1 species